rnacentral:rRNA from 1 species
UACAGAGGGUGCAAGCGUUAAUCGGAAUUACUGGGCGUAAAGCGUGCAUAGACGGUUACAUAAGUCGGGUGUGAAAGCCCCGGGCUCAACCUGGGAAUUGCAUUCGAGACUGCGUAGCUAGGGUGCGGAAGAGGGAAGCGGAAUUUCCGGUGUAGCGGUGAAAUGCGUAGAUAUCGGAAGGAACACCAGUGGCGAAAGCGGCUUCCUGGUCCAGCACCGACGUUCAGGCACGAAAGCGUGGGGAGCAAACAGG